rnacentral:lncRNA from 7 species
GGCCAAUGCAAGAACAUUCUGGAGGAACAAGUAACCUGAAAAAACAGGGAGCAACACACCAAACCACAAGCAAGAUACCUGUGAUAUUUUCUAAUGACCAAGAAAAGUAGUUUGAGGGCAAUCAGGUUUGGGUCCAGCUGAUUGCAUUCCUGUGGGAGAUCUCCAGCUGGGAAUCUGAAACCUCUUACUCUCUAAUGGCUGCACCAACAGGCAAAAAUGGAUCGAGACUAUAUGCGAUUAAACUUAAAGAGUAGAUGUGAGUAUAUACUACUUAUAUUCUUGGAAGAAAAAAGUGAAAUUUCUUCAAUGUUUUUCUAUUCUUUCAUUCUUUCUUCUCCCAUACUCCCCAUCAUAUUUUAUCUGUGCUCCUUCAUGUUUCUGGGCAGGUAGCUGGAUGAGCUCUCUAGUUAGCUCUGCUGAACCAUUCAGGGCUUUGCCUCAAUUAGGAGAUCAAAAAAUAGAUUAAAACUCACAAAAAUAUUUAAUGAGACUGUACUGGUGAACUGAGGAGAACAAUGGACACUUAUAAAAAAAAUGCACAAAUGAUUUACUUAAACACAGAUCACAGUUACCACUCAUUCCCAAAAAAUCGCUGUCUUUUAUUGUAUGUGCUCUUUGUUUUGUGAGAGUUCUUCUCUCUAAAAUAGAUUUAGAUUUCCCUGUGAUCCUGUUAGCCUUCAAAUGAUGAAGAAAUAAAGUAAAAAUGGAUCAGCUGUAAACUUAACUAUUAAAUAGAAUAUGCUUGUGCUGACAGUGCUGAUAAAGAACCUGUAUUUAUGUACAAUGAAGCUAGCGUAUGAAAUUAAUGAUCCAACUGAGGUAGCAAUGUAAUUUAGUCAUGGUGUUUUUAAUUGGCUAAAUAAUAUCACUUUUUGUUACUUAAGUAAAGUGAAAACAUUCUAAAUUAGUCAUAUGAGUUCUGCGCUAAAAGUAAUGCACCGUGAGGCUGUGGGUGGUGCAUUUCAGUGUGGCAAUAGUGACCUGAAAGACAAACUGCGUUCUGGAUGAUCUUGCAGAUUUUCAUAAACAUAUUUAUUUCCUUAUUUCAAGGAAAUAAAUAGUAGGCAUUACUUUCAGAGUGACACACUCAUAAUGAUCUCAAGAAAUGAUGGGAUGUUGACUUAUUAAUUUUUAUCAUGAAUACAUUUAUACAUGAAGGAUAAGAAUGGGUGCCUUUACCAGCAAAAUGACAGAAUAAGAGUCUAAUAAAAUAAUUAACAUUCAUAAUGGUGUUAAUGUUCUUCAUACAGAAAUAUUCUUGGAAUAUAUUAUUAGUGGUGUCUUUCCCAUUAUGAAUAUUUCUGUGGCUGAUACACAGACAAAAUUCAUUGCCCUCCCAUUGUGACUAUAUACUGCAUAGAUCCAAACUGGCAUCCUAACCCAGAUUUAUCUGUUCUCUCAUGUAUUAUAUUCAUUUGUUUACUGUACAAUUAGGACACCUAGCUGUUUCCUUUUUGUUUCCUAGCUGUAUUUCCUUUGGGUGUUGUAUUUUGUGAAGUAACGACCACUUUUUAACAUCUCUGGUAAAAUUUGUAUAUGUAAUUAUAUAUACACACACACUCAUUCAUACCUAUUUAUAUAUAUGCAGAAAAAAUAAAUGAAAAGUUUCCAGU